rnacentral:miRNA from 12 species
GCUGGCACUGACUGUUACAGCGCUGGGUGCAUGGGGAUCUUGCCACAAAGCAUGCACAUCCCAGAGCUAAAUCACC